CGAGCCGGCUCCGCCCCCCCUCCCCGCCUCCGGUGACGCCCCGCGCCGGGCAGCGGCCGCGCCUCCGGGCUCCCACCGCCGGGAGUCCUCGGGCCCGCACGCCGCCAGCUCCCUCCCGGCGGUCUCCGGCUCGGCCGCGCGAUUCCUGCCAACUCUCCACGCCCGGCCCCUCCUCCCGGCCCCUCCUCCCGCGCCCGACCGCCGGGCUCCGCCCCAGCCCGAGACUGGGCGCCUGCUGCCCCCGCGCCAAGCCCCCGUCCGUACCCCUCCCCACCGACAGCUCUGCGCGGGUCCGCAGGGCCGAGUGUUUGCAGCCUUCCACGAGAAGAAGAGAGAAGAAAAGAGAGAGAGAGAAACAUCAAUGAUGAGAGAGGAUCAUUGACCAGCUGUUUCCUGAAUGACCCCUACUGUGGACAAAGCCUGACACUGGAGUAUGUGCCUCAAGGGAAUCCAACCGUGAUCUCCUGGUUCAUAGGGCACCCUCAACCACGGAGCCACACCAGUGGGCGAUCUCUCUAUCACUCCUGGUUGAGAUGCCAAGUUGCCAGUCAGGAGGCUGGAAAGCCCAAGAUCAAGACACCAGCAGAUUCAGUAUCUGGUAAGAGCCGGCUUCCUGGUUCAUAGAAGGUGUCUUUUUUUUCUGUGUCCUCAUGCGGUGGAAGAG